GUAAUCACAGUGAUGGAGUACUGUAGUGGUAAUCACAGUGAUGGAAUACUGUAGGGGGUAAACACAGUGAUGAGUACUGUGGGGGUAAACACAGUGAUGAGUACUGUAGGGGGUAAACACAGUGAUGAGUACUGUGGGGGUAAACACAGUGAUGAGUACUGUUGGGGGUAAACACAGUGAUGGAGUACUGUAGGGGUAAACACAGUGAUGAGUACUGUUGGGGUAAACACAUUGAUGGAGUACUCUAGGGGGUAAACACAGUGAUGUAGUACUGUAGGGUUAAACACAGUGAUGGAGUGCUGUAGGAGUAAACACAGUAAAUGGAGUACUGUAGGGGGUAAUCCCAGGGAUCGAGUACUGUAGGGGCUAAACACAGUGAUGGAGUACUGUAGGGGUAAACAAGGUGAUGGAGUACUGUAGGAGUAAACACAGUGAUGGAGUACUGUAGGAGUAAACAAAAUGAUGGAGUACUGUAGGGGUAAACACAGUGAUGGAGUACUCUAGGGGGUAAACACAGUGAUGAGUACUGUAGGGGUAAACACAGUGAUGAGUACUGUAGGGGUAAACACAGUGAUGGAGUACUGUUGGGGGUAAACACAGUGAUGGAGUACUGUAGGGGUAAACACAGUGAUGGAGUACUCUAGGGGGUAAUCCCAGGGAUCGAGUACUGUAGGGGCUAAACACAGUGAUGGAGUACUGUAGGGG
ensembl:lncRNA